rnacentral:misc_RNA from 1 species
CCAGUGACUAGUCAACGGGUAGUACGGCCAUGUGAGGCUGUGAACGCAAAAUUGCAUAUGCUUUGAUCAAGAGACGAAACAGAAAAUCUUCGGAAACUGUUGCUGUUAAUCACAUUAAUUUUAAUUUUAAUUUUAAUUUCAGGAGAUAUAGCUGGUUGCAUUUGAUUAGCCGAAGCAAUGAGCUCUAAGAUUGGAGAGAACAUAUAAAACAGAAAAUAAAAUAAAAUACAAUAUCCGCUACUAGCCAAUCCCCAUCUCAUGGCCACCAUUCUCUCUCCAUCAGCUCGCCUCUCCUCCUCCACCACCCCCCAAAAGCCACCGCAAAUUCCGCCACCACCCAAAACCCAGCUCCCUAUGCCACCCCACAAACCCCUCUUAAACACAACACUAACUGCCGCUAUUGCUGCCACUACAAUACUAACCACCACUGCUCCUUCCCUUGCAGACUCAGCACAAACCUACCACAUCUACUACGGCACCGCAGCCAGCGCGGCCAACUACGGUGGAUACGGCGGUAACUCCGACAAGAAAGCCUCAGCUGAGUACGUCUACGAUGUCCCUGAUGGGUGGAAAGAACGCCUAGUCUCCAAAGUUGAAAAGGGCACGAAUGGAACUGAUAGCGAGUUCUACAACCCAAAGAAGAGGACUGAAAAAGAGUACUUGACGUUUCUUGCAGGAUUCAGGCAACUAGCCCCACAAGAUGUGGUGUUAAAUAAUUUGGCCUUGUCUGAUGUGGGUUUGCAAGACUUGAUAUUGGGAGCAGAUAGUGUGAAGAGUGAAGAGAAGAAGGAUGGAGAUGGGCAAGUGUAUUAUGUGUAUGAAAUUGAUGGGAUUGGGAAACAUAGCUUGAUCAAGGUUACUUGUGCUAAGAACAAGUUAUAUGCUCAUUUUGUUAAUGCACCGGCCCCUGAGUGGAAUAAGGAUGAAGAGACUUUGAGGCAUCUCCACGAGUCCUUUAAGACUGUUGGGUCCUUUCAGUGAGAGAGUAG